GGCAGUAUAUUGGAUUUGACACAUUACAAUGGUUGACGUUUCAAAACAAACCGCGUAGUCAGCAAACAAAGGUUUAAUUUUGUGCUGUCUUGUCAAUGCAAUCUGAAUGUUCUAAAUUACUGCUUACCCACCCUGCCACAUAUACCACUGCAGAAGAAUUAUGUUCACCCAAAAGAAUACUUUGUAUAUUAGUUGGUGAUAAAAGUUGUUUUCAUUUUUAAAUCUACCAUCAUUAUAUCAUAAAGUUUUAAUAGAAACUGGCAUGCAUCAAUUUCGCAGUUUCC